UACGAAGGGGGCUAGCGUUGCUCGGAAUCACUGGGCGUAAAGCGCACGUAGGCGGCUUUUUAAGUCAGGGGUGAAAUCCUGGAGCUCAACUCCAGAACUGCCUUUGAUACUGGAGAGCUAGAGUCCGGAAGAGGUGAGUGGAACUGCGAGUGUAGAGGUGAAAUUCGUAGAUAUUCGCAAGAACACCAGUGGCGAAGGCGGCUCACUGGUCCGGUACUGACGCUGAGGUGCGAAAGCGUGGGGAGCAAACAGG
rnacentral:rRNA from 1 species